rnacentral:rRNA from 1 species
CACGGGGGGCCUACGGGAGGCAGCAGUGGGGAAUCUUGCGCAAUGGGCGAAAGCCUGACGCAGCAACGCCGCGUGCGGGAAGAAGGCUUUCGGGCUGUAAACCGCUUUCAGCAGGAACGAAAAUGACGGUACCUGCAGAAGAAGGAGCGGCCAACUAUGUGCCAGCAGCCGCGGUGAUACAUAGGCUUCAAGCGUUGUCCGGAUUUAUUGGGCGUAAAGAGUUCGUAGGCGGUCGAGUAAGUCGGGUGUGAAAAUUCUGGGCUCAACCCAGAGACGCCACCCGAUACUGCUUAACUUGAGUUCGAUAGGGGAGUGGGGAAUUCCUAGUGUAGCGGUGAAAUGCGCAGAUAUUAGGAGGAACACCGGUGGCGAAGGCGCCACUCUGGAUCGACACUGACGCUGAGGAACGAAAGCAUGGGUAGCAAACAGGAUUAGAUACCCUGGUAGUCCAUGCGGUAAACGGUGGGCACUAGGUGUGGGUUUCUAUUAACGAAAUCCGCGCCGUCGCUAACGCAUUAAGUGCCCCGCCUGGAGACCCAAU